UCCCUGGUGGUCCAGUGGCUAAGACUCUGCGCUCCCAAUGCAGGGGACGCAGGUUCAAUCCCUGGUCAGGGAA
rfam:Ovis aries breed Texel chromosome 3, whole genome shotgun sequence.